GAAAUGUGAUAAGUAAUGUGAAUUGCAGAAUUCAGUGAAUCAUCGAAUCUUUGAACGCACCUUGCGCUCCUUGGUAUUCCUUGGAGCAUGCCUGUUUGAGUAUCAUGAAAUCUUCAAAGUAAAUCUUUUGUUAACUCAAUUGGCUUCUACUUUGGUAUUGGAGGUCUUUGCAGCUUCACACCUGCUCCUCUUUGUUCAUUAGCUGGAUCUCAGUGUUAUGCUUGGUUCCACUCGGCGUGAUAAGUUAUCUAUCGCUGAGGACACUGUAAAAGGUGGCCAAGGUAAAUGCAGAUGAACCGCUUCUAAUAGUCCAUUGACUUGGACAAUACUUUUAUGAUCUGAUCUCAAAUCAGGUAGGACUACCCGCUGAACUUAAGC
rnacentral:misc_RNA from 1 species